ACGGGGCCCGCACAAGCGGUGGAGCAUGUGGUUUAAUUCGAUGCAACGCGAAAACCUUACCCACCUUUGACAUGUACGGAACCCUUUAGAGAUAGAGGGUGCUCGAAAGAGAGCCGUAACACAGGUGCUGCAUGGCUGUCGUCAGCUCGUGUCGUGAGAUGUUGGGUUAAGUCCCGCAACGAGCGCAACCCUUGUCAUUAGUUGCUACAUUCAGUUGGGCACUCUAAUGAGACUGCCGGUGACAAGCCGGAGGAAGGUGGGGAUGACGUCAAGUCCUCAUGGCCCUUAUAGGUGGGGCUACACACGUCAUACAAUGGCUGGUACAAAGGGUUGCCAACCCGCGAGGGGGAGCCAAUCCCAUAAAGCCAGUCGUAGUCCGGAUCGUAGUCUGCAACUCGACUACGUGACGUCGGAAUCGCUAGUAAUCGUGGAUCAGAAUGUCACGGUGAAUACGUUCCCGGGUCUU
rnacentral:rRNA from 1 species